UACGUAGGGUGCGAGCGUUAAUCGGAAUUACUGGGCGUAAAGUGUGCGCAGGCGGUUGAGCAAGUCGAGUGUGAAAGCCCCGGGCUUAACUUGGGAAUUGCGCUCGAAACUACUUGACUGGAGUGUGGCAGAGGAAGGUGGAAUUCCACGUGUAGCGGUGAAAUGACGUAGAGAUGUGGAGGAACACCAAUGGCGAAGGCAGCCUUCUGGGCCAACACUGACGCUCAUGCACGAAAGCGUGGGGAGCAAACAGG
rnacentral:rRNA from 1 species